ACUUUAAUUUUCUUUGUCUCUGUGAUUUUCGAACUAAGCCAAACUUAUGAAAAUUUGGCGGUCAAUAGGAAAACUGAACAAAGCUCAAUCAGUGAACAAAGCAAACAUUCCGGCCUGGCCGUGGACAACAAUACGGACCAAAGAGUUUCAAGCUGCAUGCGCACGAAUCUCGAACAGGAAGUCUGGUGGCGAGUAGAUUUAGGAGAAAUUAAGAGUAUUUACGAUAUCCAAGUCUUUUAUCGAAACGACAGUGAUGCAAAUGGUAAAGUGGUAUCGUUAGACAUAUAUUUUUAUAAUGCUGUCAUGUUAAAUACAGAAAUUUGGUUUAGACGCAGUUUAUAAUCAGUUCUAUUAGGUACCUUAGCGCUAGCAACACACUUGGUAACGGGUAAUACAACGAAUUGUUACAUGGGUAACACAACGAAUUGUUACAUGCGCGUUAAUUAUGUGCAUGUAACAAUUUUAUUUAAAUAAUAUUAUUGGUGGUUUAAAAAAAGGUACUAUUCAUGCGUAUGCAUGAGUAGGCAAAUCGGGAGAACAAACAUUGGAUAAAAAGAACGGUCGUUGUUUUGGAUUUUUCAAAAAUUACGAAUUUCAUUACAUUUUCCGAUAGAAAUGUUUACGUUGUCUGAUAUAAAUAGUUGCUUAAAUUUGUUCAAUAUAAAAGUUAUGGCAAUUUUUCAUUAAACACACACAAAGUUGUACUGAAAUUUGAUAAUUUUAAACAAUAAUGUCAACUUUUCAAAUUAACAAGAAUUUUGUGUUCUCCCCUGUGUUUCUAACCAUAUCAACAUCAAUUUGUGAAUUGUGUAUAAAACAUAUAAUCUAAUAAUCAUUUGUUUCGGCUUUAAAACAUCGAAUAAAUCUCACUUAACAUUUUUAAUCUGAUUCCAUGGCAACGGGUAACUUUUUUUUUUAACAUCAAGACAGAUCUGUGCAUAUGUAUUUUUAUGUACUAGUACUUGAUUUGUAGUAAAAACAAGAGUGGACUAUCACGCUGGGUUUGCACUGUAUAUAUCAAACACCAAGUGCGACGGCCCAACAGGUGGACAGUUAUGUUAUAAAAAUGAUGAUGGUGAACCUCCACUUCAAUCAGAUCACAUAUGUCAAAUUCACGGGCGUUACGUCACAUACUAUAACGAGAGAACAGGGAGCGGGUCGAACCUUCCUCCAAGCGUGGUAAAUACGGUGACCAUAGCUGAACUUUGCGAGGUCCAGGUGUUUGGUGGGCAUAUAUUAGAAACCAGUCUUUUUUUCAGUUUAGUAUACUGUAGUAUACUGAAGUCACUACAUGUUAAUAUUAGCUAUAUGAAUUUUUGGAACAAAUUAAGUAAGCAGUUUUUAAUUCAAAUACAACAACUUUUUUUUUAUUCAAAAAACAAUUAUCUAAUGUAACCUCAUGCCAAUUUAUAUCAGACUUAACCAAACUUAAAGGCUGAGAAAAUCAAACAUAAAUCUUAUGGCAAAAUAUGUACUUAUAAAGGAUGUUCUACGGGCGUGUUCGGAGACGAUUGUGCCGAGCCUUGUCCGCAAAACUGCAGAGAUGAUCUGUGUAAAGUGGAGACAGGGGUCUGCCUGCAGUGCGUUGAUGGAUGGAAAGGGGAAUUUUGCAAUCAAACUACAACUGUUUUCAUUUCCGUUCCCCAACCAAUUGGUUCUCAGCCCCCGUCCAACUAUACUGUGUUCAUAGCUAUAGUAUUCGGAGUGAUUUUGAUGUUCCUCGUCGUGGUCAUCGUUGCAUUGCUGUACAAAGUUCGCAAAAGCAAAUCGUCUAAGUCCCAUGUGAAUGCUGCAUAUCAGGGAACACUUCCGGCGGAAGAAUCACAGGGCAGUAACUACGCCACCUUAAAUCUGGAACCCACUUUUUUGGGACAUCAAUAUGGUCACCUGGAGACCAGCAACGCUUCACGGAGUUCGCAUCCCUAUUUAUCUGUCCUCUGAGUCUUUACAUGUUGAUCUUCGAUAAAGACUAUCUAACUGACAUCCCGCAUCAACUAUAUCAUUAUCAUUAGUCAUGAUCGUAGUUUAGACUUCGUAUGGCAAUAUGGCAACAAAGUUCCUCAUCAUGAUCAAGUAAUAAAUAAAAAUAUCAAGGAUUUUGUAGAUUUCAGAAAAAAAUUCAGUGGUAAAAAACAUCAAUUAGUGUAUUGCAUUGGCGUAAUAAACGUGUUUAUUUUAAUUUUAUAACCAUUCAAACAUUUUGAGAGUUCAAAAGCAAGAGACAACACAUUAUUGCAUUAUUUUAUUGUUUCCAAAAUAUGUUCAAUUGUUUUAUAUCUUAAUUCUUCAUAUAUCCGGCUAUUUGAUGGAUUUUUUUCUGUAGACUGUCUUUGUAUCGUUUAUUUUCCUUGUUUUUAUUACUUUGUUUUUAAAUUAAUUACAAUAUAUUAAAAACGAUUUUUUUUUCAUCAU
rnacentral:misc_RNA from 1 species